GAGGUGAAUUCCUAAUAGCUCACCCAUACUGGAAUGUAGGGUGAGUUAAAAAGAGCAUGAAUUGGAGUGAAUUCUGCUUUAGGAUGGGACUGCGGCUGAUUAGGCUGUUGGUGGGGUAACGGCCCACCAAACCAAUAAUCAGUACGGGCUAUGAGAGUAGGAGCCCGGAGAUGGGAACUGAGACAAGGUCCCAAGCCCUACGGGGUGCAGCAGGCGCGAAACUUCCGCAAUGCGCGAAAGCGUGACGGGGGCAGUCCGAGUGAUUCUCUUAGGAGAGUCUUUUGCUUAGUUCGAAUAACUAGGCGAAUAAGUGGUGGGUAAAUCCUGUGCCAGCCGCCGCGGUAAUACAGGUAGCACGAGUGGUGUCCACGUAUAUUGAGUCUAAAGCGUCCGUAGCCGGAUUGGCAAAUCUUCUGUGAAAUCCUACAGCUUAACUGAAGGACUUGCAGGGGAGACUACCAGUCUAGGAAGUGGAGGAAGUGCGGGGUACUACAGGGGGAACGGUAAAAUGUUGUAAUCCUUGUAGGACCACCAGUGGCGAAAGCGCCGCACUAAGACACGUUCGACGGUGAGGGACGAAGGCUAGGGGAGCAAACCGGAUUAGAUACCCGGGUAGUCCUAGC
rnacentral:rRNA from 1 species